rnacentral:tRNA from 11 species
GUGUGGCCCAGUGGUAGCAUGUUGGGCUCACAAGCCAGUUUUGGUGGGUUCAGGCCCCGGU